rnacentral:lncRNA from 1 species
GAAGAACCAUUGUUUCUCUAUGAGGAGAUGCUCUCCACAUCUGACCCUCCAUUUUUCUUGCCUCUCCCCUAGGUUUAGAUCAUGAAUGAGCACUGCCAAGCUAUCCUGAAGUGCAAAGGCAGCACUGGUUCCUAGGAAGACAGCAAAAAGACAGAGUUUCACAUUACAAGAGCUCCCACAGGGGAGAACUCAUGAGCUGUUUUGGCUUUACAGUCAAGAGCAGUGAUUUCUUGGCAACCUCAUCAGCCCCACGUUCAUCUGGGUGGGCAGCUCUUGUGUAAUGAAUCAUCCAGUGUUUCAGACAGAGAUUCAACACGGUGUAAUAGCCUUCUCGUCCCUGACGGUUAAUCAG